UACGUAGGGUGCAAGCGUUGUCCGGAAUUAUUGGGCGUAAAGAGCUCGUAGGCGGUCUGUUGCGUCGGCUGUGAAAACCCAGGGCUUAACCCUGGGCUGGCUUCCGAUACGGGCAGACUAGAGGUAUGCAGGGGAGAACGGAAUUCCUGGUGUAGCGGUGAAAUGCGCAGAUAUCAGGAGGAACACCAGUUGCGAAGGCGUCU
rnacentral:rRNA from 1 species